rnacentral:tRNA from 1 species
GCCUGGCUGCCUCAGCCAGUGGAGUGUGUGACUCUUGAUCUCGGGGCUAUGGGUUCGAGCCCCAUGUUGGGUG